rnacentral:rRNA from 1 species
GUCCACGCCCUAAACGAUGAUAACUCGAUGUUGGCGAUAUACAGUCAGCGUCUUAGCGAAAGCGUUAAGUUAUCCACCUGGGGAGUACGCCCGCAAGGGUGAAACUCAAAGGAAUUGACGGGGCCCGCACAAGCGGAGGAGCAUGUGGUUUAAUUCGAUGAUACGCGAGGAACCUUACCCGGGCUUGAAAGUUACUGAAUUAUCUAGAGAUAGAUAAGUCCUGGACAGGAACUAGGUGCUGCAUGGCUGUCGU